rnacentral:rRNA from 1 species
UACGUAGGGUGCGAGCGUUGUCCGGAAUUAUUGGGCGUAAGGGCUUGUUGGCGGUCUGUCGGGUUCUCCGUGAAAAUCCGGGGCUCAACCCCGGACUUGCAGUGGGUACGGGCAGACUAGAGUGUGGUAGGGGAGACUGGAAUUCCUGGUGUAGCGGUGAAAUGCGCAGAUAUCAGGAGGAACACCGAUGGCGAAGGCAGGUCUCUGGGCCACUACUGACGCUGAGAAGCGGAAGCAUGGGGAGCGAACAGG